GCGUGUGGUUAGUGCGCAUGUUGGAGCUCGCAUUGAAGAAAGCGGCCCCGCCACCAUGGUUUCCACUUCCUCCCCAUGCCGUGUGCAGCAUGGCGCAGCCCCCUCCCCCUUACUAUGAAGCUGCGGCAGACAGCCAGGCAUCUGCUGCAAGGCCUCGUUCACCCCGAGAGCAAGGCGUGCUACGCACUCCCCGCCCGCGCUCUGCCGAGAGCCGCAGCGGGGACACGGCUGGGAACAUGGGCCCUCCCCCACCCUCCCGCCUAACAUGGCGCCGUGAGGUCCCUCAACUGCUCGGCCGCUAACAAUGAGCACCGUGCGCGGCCUCUCCGGAGCGGUGGGGGAGGGGCGGGUGACGAAGCUGGCAGGCCGCGGGGAGGUAAACAAACUCCCAACACCAGCACUCAAUAAGGUCAUCACACGGCGUGCGCCGCCCCGGGCCCAUUGUUAGAGCUGGGGACCCACACGGCGUGCGUGUCGGACAGGUGACACCGGGGUGACUGCUGACCAUGACCGGCCACCAUGGAGUGUAACGGGUGUCAGGACCCGCCGAGCGCAGACAAAGAG